rnacentral:rRNA from 1 species
AGCGAACGCUGGCGGCAGGCCUAACACAUGCAAGUCGAACGGUAACAGGUCUUCGGAUGCUGACGAGUGGCGAACGGGUGAGUAAUACAUCGGAACGUGCCCGAGAGUGGGGGAUAACGAAGCGAAAGCUUUGCUAAUACCGCAUACGAUCUCAGGAUGAAAGCAGGGGACCGCAAGGCCUUGCGCUCACGGAGCGGCCGAUGGCAGAUUAGGUAGUUGGCGGGAUAAAGGCUUACCAAGCCGACGAUCUGUAGCUGGUCUGAGAGGACGACCAGCCACACUGGGACUGAGACACGGCCCAGACUCCUACGGGAGGCAGCAGUGGGGAAUUUUGGACAAUGGGCGCAAGCCUGGUCCAGCCAUGCCGCGUGCAGGAUGAAGGCCUUCGGGUUGUAAACUGCUUUUGUACGGAACGAAAAGACUCUGGUUAAUACCUGGGGUCCAUGACGGUACCGUAAGAAUAAGCACCGGCUAACUACGUGCCAGCCGCCGCGGUAACAC